rnacentral:rRNA from 1 species
CCCUUAGAUGUUCUGGGCCGCACGCGCGCUACACUGAUGCAUUCAACGAGUCUAAAACCUGGUCUGAUAGGGCUGGGUAAUCUUUUGAAUGUGCAUCGUGAUUGGGAUAGAUGAUUGCAAUUCUUCAUCUUCAACGAGGAAUGCCUAGUAAACGCAAGUCAUCAGCUUGCAUUGAUUACGUCCCUGCCCUUUGUACACACCGCCCGUCGCUCCUACCGAUUGAAUGUUCCGAUGAAUACCAUGGACUGAGAGUAUGAAUGGGUUCGCCUAUUUCUGCUCCUCGGGAAGUGGAGUAAAUCUUAACAUUUAGAGGAAGGAGAAGUCGUAACA